CCAGGGGGCCGGGCGGCCGCGUCACGCGUCAGCGUGCCGAGGAAAGUCCGGGCUCCACGGAACGACGGUGGCGGGUAACGCCCGCCGGCCAAGGGCGCGAGCCCGCGGUCAGGGACAGUGCAACAGAGAGCAGACGGCCACGGCUUCGGCCGGGCCAAGGUGAAAGGGUGCGGUAAGAGCGCACCGCGCGGCCGGCAACGGUCGUGGCACGGUAAACCCCACCGGGAGCAAGACCGAAUAGGGGCGGCAGGGGCGCGUUCGCGCGCCCGGGGCGUGUUCCCGCUCGCCGCCCGGGUUGGUUGCUGGAGCGCGUCGGCGACGGCGCGCCGAGAGGAAUGGUCGCCCAGUCCCGAGAGGGAUGGACAGAACCCGGCUUACAGGCCCCCUGGCAUU
rnacentral:RNase_P_RNA from 1 species